AUUGGGACUGAGAUACGGCCCAGACUCCUACGGGAGGCAGCAGUGGGGAAUAUUGCACAAUGGGCGCAAGCCUGAUGCAGCGACGCCGCGUGCGGGAUGACGGCCUUCGGGUUGUAAACCGCUUUUGAUCGGGAGCAAGCCUUCGGGUGAGUGUACCUUUCGAAUAAGCACCGGCUAACUACGUGCCAGCAGCCGCGGUAAUACGUAGGGUGCAAGCGUUAUCCGGAAUUAUUGGGCGUAAAGGGCUCGUAGGCGGUUCGUCGCGUCCGGUGUGAAAGUCCAUCGCUUAACGGUGGAUCUGCGCCGGGUACGGGCGGGCUGGAGUGCGGUAGGGGAGACUGGAAUUCCCGGUGUAACGGUGGAAUGUGUAGAUAUCGGGAAGAACACCAAUGGCGAAGGCAGGUCUCUGGGCCGUUACUGACGCUGAGGAGCGAAAGCGUGGGGAGCGAACAGGAUUAGAUACCCUGGUAGUCCACGCCGUAAACGGUGGAUGCUGGAUGUGGGGCCCGUUCCACGGGUUCCGUGUCGGAGCUAACGCGUUAAGCAUCCCGCCUGGGGAGUACGGCCGCAAGGCUAAAACUCAAAGAAAUUGACGGGGGCCCGCACAAGCGGCGGAGCAUGCGGAUUAAUUCGAUGCAACGCGAAGAACCUUACCUGGGCUUGACAUGUUCCCGACGGUCGUAGAGAUACGGCUUCCCUUCGGGGCGGGUUCACAGGUGGUGCAUGGUCGUCGUCAGCUCGUGUCGUGAGAUGUUGGGUUAAGUCCCGCAACGAGCGCAACCCUCGCCCUGUGUUGCCAGCACGUCAUGGUGGGAACUCACGGGGGACCGCCGGGGUCAACUCGGAGGAAGGUGGGGAUGACGUCAGAUCAUCAUGCCCCUUACGUCCAGGGCUUCACGCAUGCUACAAUGGCCGGUACAACGGGAUGCGACACGGCGACGUGGAGCGGAUCCCUGAAAACCGGUCUCAGUUCGGAUUGGAGUCUGCAACCCGACUCCAUGAAGGCGGAGUCGCUAGUAAUCGCGGAUCAGCAACGCCGCGGUGAAUGCGUUCCCGGGCCUUGUACACACCGCCCGUCAAGUCAUGAAAGUGGGUAGCACCCGAAGCCGGUGGCCUAACCCUUUGUGGAUGGAGCCGUCUAAGGUGAGACUCGUGAUUGGGACUAAGUCGUAACAAGGUAGCCGUACCGGAAGGUGCGGCUG
rnacentral:rRNA from 1 species